rnacentral:rRNA from 1 species
UGGGGAAUAUUGCACAAUGGGCGCAAGCCUGAUGCAGCCAUGCCGCGUGUGUGAAGAAGGCCUUCGGGUUGUAAAGCACUUUCAGCGAGGAGGAAGGCAUUAAGGUUAAUAACCUUAGUGAUUGACGUUACUCGCAGAAGGAGCACCGGCUAACUCCGUGCCAGCAGCCGCGGUAAUACGGAGGGUGCAAGCGUUAAUCGGAAUUACUGGGCGUAAAGCGCACGCAGGCGGUUUGUUAAGUCAGAUGUGAAAUCCCCGAGCUUAACUUGGGAACUGCA